UAACGCGAAGAACCUUACCUGGGCUUGACAUGUUCCUGACAGGUGUGGAAACACACUCUUCCUUCGGGACAGGAUCACAGGUGGUGCAUGGCUGUCGUCAGCUCGUGUCGUGAGAUGUUGGGUUAAGUCCCGCAACGAGCGCAACCCCCGUCGUAUGUUGCCAGCAUUUAGUUGGGGACUCAUACGAGACUGCCGGUGACAAACCGGAGGAAGGUGGGGAUGACGUCAAGUCAUCAUGCCCCUUAUGUCCAGGGCUACACACGUGCUACAUUGGCGCAUACAAAGGGCAGCGAUACCGCGAGGUGGAGCGAAUCCCAAAAAGUGCGUCUUGGUUCGGAUUGGAGGCUGAAACUCGCCUCCAUGAAGUCGGAGUUGCUAGUAAUCCCGGAUCAGCAACGCCGGGGUGAAUACGUUCCCGGGUCUUGUACACACCGA
rnacentral:rRNA from 1 species